rnacentral:rRNA from 1 species
GUCUGUCUAAAUCACAGGUUGAUCGGCACAGUGGAGGACAGGGAAGGAGGAGAAGGAUGUGAGGUGUGUAGAAUUGGGCGCAAAGGGAGACGAUCAAGAUGGUGGAGCAGAAUCCAGAGGACGCCGGGAGACCAGAUUGCCGCACAGGAAACCUGCCGAGCCGACAUUGACGCCAAGUGCGGCGAUGCCGCUUCCAAUGAUUGUGAGGGCAAGUUCUUCCCGGGCUUUACCAAGAUCAACUAUGAGGGUCCAACUAGCAAGAGGGCGCUUGCUUACAAGUGGUAUAACAUAGAGGAAGUGAUUCUUAUAAAGAAAAUGAAAUGUGGCAUUCUGGCAUACGUUCCGGGAUACCGGAGGAGAUCUUUUUGGUGCACCUACAAAGAACUGGCCUUGGGAGGAUGGCAUGAAUUCCAUGGCCAUGGCUACGAGAACUCUGGGACUUGUUACUUAUUGAUAGAGCUGACAUGUGAUUUAACUGCUAAUGAGGGUAGUUUAGGUUUCAUUGUCUUUAAUAAUUUUUGGCUUGGCCGACAGGGUACUGCAAUGCUAUGGGUUGAUAAAGAAAAAAGGGAAAUAAACGAGAAAGCAAGACGGAAUUGGCAGAAUCACGACAAAGGACGUGCCCUGCAAUGA